UGGGGAAUAUUGCGCAAUGGGCGGAAGCCUGACGCAGCGACGCCGCGUGGGGGAUGAAGGCCUUCGGGUUGUAAACCCCUUUCGGCAGGGACGAAGCGAAAGUGACGGUACCUGCAGAAGAAGCGCCGGCUAACUACGUGCCAGCAGCCGCGGUAACACGUAGGGCGCAAGCGUUGUCCGGAAUCAUUGGGCGUAAAGAGCUCGUAGGCGGUUUGUUACGUCUGCUGUGAAAUCUGGGGGCUUAACCCCCAGCUUGCAGUGGAUACGGGCAGACUAGAGGUAGGUAGGGGAGAAUGGAAUUCCCGGUGUAGCGGUGAAAUGCGCAGAUAUCGGGAGGAACACCGGUGGCGAAGGCGGUUCUCUGGGCCUUACCUGACGCUGAGGAGCGAAAGCGUGGGGAGCGAACAGGAUUAGAUACCCCCGUAGUCC
rnacentral:rRNA from 1 species